rnacentral:rRNA from 1 species
UACGGAGGGUGCUAGCGUUAAUCGGAAUUACUGGGCGUAAAGCGUGCGCAGGCGGUUUGUUAAGUCUGCUGUGGAAUCCCCGAGCUCAACUUGGGAAUUGCAGUGGAUACUGGCAGGCUGGAGUAUGGUAGAGGAAGGUGGAAUUCCCGGUGUAGCAGUGAAAUGCGUAGAGAUCGGGAGGAACACCAGUGGCGAAGGCGGCCUUCUGGACCAAUACUGACGCUGAAGCACGAAAGCGUGGGGAGCAAAAAGG